GAUGAACGCUGGCGGCGUGCUUAACACAUGCAAGUCGAGCGAGAAAAGUUCUUCGGAGCUUUUCUAGCGGCGGACGGGUGAGUAACACGUGGGCAACCUGCCUCAUAGAGGGGAAUAGCCUUCCGAAAGGAAGAUUAAUACCGCAUAAUAUUGUUGAAAGGCAUCUUUUAACAAUCAAAGGAGCAAUCCGCUAUGAGAUGGGCCCGCGGCGCAUUAGCUAGUUGGUGAGGUAACGGCGCACCAAGGCGACGAUGCGUAGCCGACCUGAGAGGGUGAUCGGCCACAUUGGAACUGAGACACGGUCCAGACUCCUACGGGAGGCAGCAGUGGGGAAUAUUGCACAAUGGGGGAAACCCUGAUGCAGCAACGCCGCGUGAGUGAUGAAGGUCUUCGGAUUGUAAAGCUCUGUCUUUAGGGACGAUAAUGACGGUACCUAAGGAGGAAGCCACGGCUAACUACGUGCCAGCCGCCGCCGUAAUAC
rnacentral:rRNA from 1 species